CCUACGGGGGGCACCAGUGGGGAAUAAUGCACAAUGGGCGCAAGCCUGAUGCAGCCAUGCCGCGUGUAUGAAGAAGGCCUUCGGGUUGUAAAGUACUUUCAGUCGGGAGGAAGGUGGUGGGCUUAAUACGCUCAUCAAUUGACGUUACCGACAGAAGAAGCACCGGCUAACUCCGUGCCAGCAGCCGCGGUAAUACGGAGGGUGCAAGCGUUAAUCGGAAUUACCGGGCGUAAAGCGCACGCAGGCGGUUGAUUGAGUCAGAUGUGAAAUCCCCGGGCUUAACCCGGGAAUUGCAUCUGAUACUGGUCAGCUAGAGUCUUGUAGAGGGGGGUAGAAUUCCAUGUGUAGCGGUGAAAUGCGUAGAGAUGUGGAGGAAUACCGGUGGCGAAGGCGGCCCCCUGGACAAAGACUGACGCUCAGGUGCGAAAGCGUGGGGAGCAAACAGGAUUAGAUACCCGAGUAGUC
rnacentral:rRNA from 1 species